GGAUAGCUUUGUUGUUUAGAGUGUGGUGCUGAUAACGCCAAGGUUGCAGGUUCAAUCCCCAUAAGGGACA